rnacentral:rRNA from 1 species
UAGUCAUAUGCUUGUCUCAAAGAUUAAGCCAUGCACGUCUAAGGAUAAAUAUUAUUUAACCAUAAACCUGCGAAAGGCUCAUUAAAUCAGUAAUAAUCUAUUCUAUUAUUUAAUCCUAUUUGGAUAACUGUAGUAAUUCUAGAGCUAAUACAUGCAAAAAACCUGGACCUUUACAGAACAGGUGUACUUAUUAGACUUUAAAACCGAUUACAAUUUAUUGUAAAUUUAAAAUGAAGUUAAAAGUAAGUUUAUGAAUCGCAGAUCAUUUUGUGAUGAUAAGAAUGAAUUUCUGCCCUAUCAACUUUCCGAUGGUAAUGUAGUGGAUUACCAUGGUGAUGACGGGUAACGGGGAAUUAGGGUUUGAUUCCGGAGAAAAGGCCUGAGAGACGGCCAUUACUUCUAAGGAAGGCAGCAGGC